rnacentral:rRNA from 1 species
AAUGGCCUAACGGCCGAACCAGCAACUUGGAAGAAUGUAUAGCGAAAGCUAGUUGCAUUAACUAACUGUUAAUGCAGAAGCGACUAUGUCGUGUAAAGUUCAGGGUAGAGUUAUGAUAAUGACAUUUUCUAUCUGUGUGUCUCGACCAAACUACGUGCCAGCAGUCGCGGUAAUACGUUGGAGACUAGUGUUAUUCGUCUUUAGUAGGUUUAAAGGGUACCUAGACGGUCAUUUCAGCCCCUAAAGGGUACUGUUUGUACUAGAGUUUUAUGAGAGGGGGGGUGUACUAAUGGUGUAGAGAUGAAAUUCAGUCAUACCAUUACGAACAGGCAACAGCGAAGGCAACCCUUUAUGUGUAAACUGACGUUGAAGGACGAAGGCUUAGUCAACCAACAGGAUUAGAUACCCUAGCAGUCUGAGCAGACAAUGAUGAAUGCCAUAGACUGGAAUAAGUUUUUAUUAUUUUAGUACCACUAAAAACAACUUAAAAAAAGUGAGAUAGACAACUUUUUUUAAAAAAAGGUUAGAUGUUUUUUAGUUUUUUGGGAAAAAAUAAAAAACCAUUUUGUCUAUAAAUGAAAGUGUAAGCAUUCCACCUCAAGAGUAACGUGGCAACGCGGAAACUGAAAUCAUUAGACCGUUUCUGAAACCAGUAGUGAAGUAUGUUGUUUAAUUCGAUAAUCCGCGGUACACCUUACCACAAUUUGUAUGUUUAGUAAUAAAUACAAGAGUUGCACGGCUGUCUUCAGUUAAUGUCGUGAGAUUUUGGUUAGUUCCAUUAAAUUAACGUAAACCCUUACUUUAUUUUAGUAAAUAGAGUAGUUCACCGCUAUAUUGGAUAUGAUAAAAGGGACUAAGACAAGUCAUCAUGGCCCUAAUAUUGUGGGCUAUAGACGUGCCACAUACGCCUAUACAAAGGGAUGCGAAAUUGUGAAAUUGAGCUAAUCCCCUAAAAUAGGAUAGAACAU